rnacentral:rRNA from 1 species
ACGAACGCUGGCGGCGUGCUUAACACAUGCAAGUCGAACGGUGAAGCGCCUUCCUUUUUGGUGGGUGUGGAUGAGUGGCGAACGGGUGAGUAACACGUGAGUAACCUGCCCCCUUCUUCUGGAUAACCGCAUGAAAGUGUGGCUAAUACGGGAUAUUCUGGGUCUGUCGCAUGAUGGGUCUGGGAAAGAUAUUGUUUCGGUGGGGGAUGGGCUCGCGGCCUAUCAGCUUGUUGGUGGGGUGAUGGCCUACCAAGGCGGUGACGGGUAGCCGGCCUGAGAGGGUGGACGGUCACACUGGGACUGAGUCACGGCCCAGACUCCUACGGGAGGCAGCAGUGGGGAAUAUUGCACAAUGGGCGCAAGCCUGAUGCAGCGACGCCGCGUGAGGGAUGGAGGCCUUCGGGUUGUGAACCUCUUUCGCCAGUGAAGCAGGCCUGCCUCGUUUGUGGGUGGGUUGACGGUAGCUGGAUAAGAAGCGCCGGCUAACUACGUG